rnacentral:rRNA from 1 species
CCUACGGGAGGCAGCAGUGGGGAAUAUUGCGCAAUGGGCGAAAGCCUGACGCAGCGACGCCGCGUGAGGGAUGAAGGUCUUCGGAUCGUAAACCUCUGUCAGCAGGGAAGAACGGUCACUGUGCUAAUCAGCAGUGAAUUGACGGUACCUGCAAAGGAAGCACCGGCUAACUCCGUGCCAGAAGCCGCGGUGAUACGGAGGGUGCGAGAGUUAAUCGGAAUUACUGGGCGUAAAGCGCUCGUAGGCGGUAUGUCAAGUCAAGUGUGAAAUCCCCGCGCUCAACGUGGGAACUGCGUUUGAAACUGGUAAACUGGAGUGUGUGAGAGGAUAGUGGAAUUCCAGGUGUAGGAGUGAAAUCCGGAGAUAUCUGGAGGAACAUCAGUUGCGAAGGCGACCAUCUGGCACAUAACUGACGCUGAGGAGCGAAAGCGUGGGUAGCAAACAGGAUUAGAUACCCCAGUAGUC